ACCUGGGACAGCUCACUCGGUAGAGCAUGAUAAUCUUAAUCUUAGGGUCAUGGGUUCGAAUUCCACCCCGGGCA